AAAAUUAUAUAUAUGAAAGUUGGCCAAUUCUCUCCAUAUAAUUGACACAUCAUCACUUUAACAUUUGCCAUGUGUCUAUUAAAUAAUUAACGUAAGCUUUUCAACUUCUAAUUUAUAGGUAAAUGAUAUAUUUAUUAUUUUAUUUUACGUAUUUAAUUGUACUAUUACUAAAUUUAUUUUAA
rnacentral:sRNA from 1 species